ACGGCAGCUGGCCAAUCAAGGUGUUCGUAUGCAGCGAAGGAAGUAACCAAUCAAUUUUUUAAUUUCCUUCUGUAAACGGGAGUGAAUCGGGGUGGAUUUGAAAUCUCAUUAGUCAAAAGCAUACUGUUGGCAUUGAAUCUGUGCCAAAAAUGCCAGCCAUCAAGGGAGAAAGCACAAGCUAAGAAGGUGAAGUAAUUGAAAGCGCCCCUUUCUUUUCACUCUGAUCUGAAAUUACAACAGGCUGAGUGGAGCGGGAAUGAGCCUGUGUGUUGCUCAAGCUGUGAAGAGCCAAGUUACAGAAGAGGUAGAGGAAAUAUGACAGGGCUCAAACAACGGCUGCUGAAUUAUAAUAUUUCUGAAGGCCCUAAAGUAUGCUCUUUCUUCCCUCACCCCCUUGCCCCUGAGCCAGUCAGGGAUGAGACUGGCAGAGCACUACUACUACAUCCCUUCUGCUUUCUGUCAUAAACCUGGAACACUCUAGCAUGAUUAAAGAGAUUCAAACAA
ensembl:lncRNA novel transcript